rnacentral:rRNA from 1 species
UGAGGAAUAUUGGUCAAUGGGCGAGAGCCUGAACCAGCCAAGUAGCGUGCAGGAUGACGGCCCUAUGGGUUGUAAACUGCUUUUGUAUGGGGAUAAAGUCAAUCACGUGUGAUUGUUUGCAGGUACCAUACGAAUAAGGACCGGCUAAUUCCGUGCCAGCAGCCGCGGUAAUACGGAAGGUCCGGGCGUUAUCCGGAUUUAUUGAGUUUAAAGGGAGCGUAGGCUGGAGAUUAAGUGUGUUGUGAAAUGUAGACGCUCAACGUCUGACUUGCAGCGCAUACUGGUUUCCUUGAGUACGCACAACGUUGGCGGAAUUCGUCGUGUAGCGGUGAAAUGCUUAGAUAUGACGAAGAACUCCGAUUGCGAAGGCAGCUGACGGGAGCGCAACUGACGCUGAAGCUCGAAGGUGCGGGUAUCGAACAGGAUUAGAUACCCUGGUAGUCCGCACAGUAAACGAUGGAUGCCCGCUGUUGGUACUUGGUAUCAGCGGCUAAGCGAAAGCAUUAAGCAUCCCACCUGGGGAGUACGCCGGCAACGGUG